rnacentral:lncRNA from 1 species
GCUGUCAAGCCCGCUCUGGGUGCCUUCUGUUGUGCUGCAUAUCAGCUUUGGUCCUUUGUGCUAUGUUCUGUGGGUGAGUAACACCUAUUCUCUCACCUAAUCAGGCAGCUGGAUGAAGUCCAAGUCCACGUUUCAUCCACAUGUGUCUCUUGACCCACAAGGAUGUUCAAUAAAUAGUUGAUGAAAAAGUGGAGAAACCUACCUCUAUCUGGAUGUGGCUGGUCUCCACAAGACACGAUGAGCUGGGCCAGAGAGGGCAAACGACUCGACUUCUCAGAGCCCCUGUUUCCUCUUCCCUAAGAACUUAAGCACAGGAAGAUGAAGAAGCAAUUUGUGAGGAAUUGAAGACAAGCUGUGCACAACCUGACAACAGUGGCUGGUAUUGGAAAUGUGUGGAGCCAGUCUCAUUUUCUUCCUUAAAUCUGAGAGAGCAGAGAGCAACCAGGUGAAGGAUCUACAGCAAAUGGAAAGACCCUGGGCUAAUACUUGAAGUUGAAGACCUUGUGAAGGAAGAAAACUUCCUUGGAAAUAUUGCAGGUAAUGCUUCCAUAUAUUGAGUGAACUUUGAACCCUUUGUACAGGUAGAAACUGAGAAUAAGCUUAAAAUGAAAAAUUAAAAAAAGAUCUUUGACUUGAAGAAAUAUUCCAGAUGGGAGCACAUGGGUGAUGUGCAUUAAAUUAUAAGAACCUAGAAAAGGCAAAAAGAAGAGGACUGGAAUGGGAACUGAGAUUACAUCUGGCUAAAUGUUUUCUCCAUUCUGUUAGUGAUGGAGCCUUAUAGGUGUAUAAACUAAGCUCACUGGGGCAUGGUAGGUUAAGCCUGCAACCCAUACGGGUGCCAGCUUGUGUCCUGGUUGCUUCCUUGAGCCCCUGAACCCGAGUGGGAGACCUGGAAGAAGCUCCUGGCUCCUGGCUCUUGGUUUUGGAUAGGCACAGCUCUGGCUAUUAUAGCCAUUUGUGGAGUGAACCUGGAAAAUCUCUCUCUCUCUCUUUCCCUUUCUCUCUCUCUGCCUCUCAUUCUCUGUGUAACUCUGACUUUCAAAUAAAUAAAUCUUAAAAAAAAAAAAAAGGAAAAUA